rnacentral:rRNA from 1 species
GACGAACGCUGGCGGCGUGCCUAAUACUUGCAAGUCGAACGCUUCUUUCCUCCCGAGUGCUUGCACUCAAUUGGAAAGAGGAGUGGCGGACGGGUGAGUAACACGUGGGUAACCUACCCAUCAGAGGGGGAUAACACUUGGAAACAGGUGCUAAUACCGCAUAACAGUUUAUGCCGCAUGGCAUAAGAGUGAAAGGCGCUUUCGGGUGUCGCUGAUGGAUGGACCCGCGGUGCAUUAGCUAGUUGGUGAGGUAACGGCUCACCAAGGCCACGAUGCAUAGCCGACCUGAGAGGGUGAUCGGCCACACUGGGACUGAGACACGGCCCAGACUCCUACGGGAGGCAGCAGUAGGGAAUCUUCGGCAAUGGACGAAAGUCUGACCGAGCAACGCCGCGUGAGUGAAGAAGGUUUUCGGAUCGUAAAACUCUGUUGUUAGAGAAGAACAAGGACGUUAGUAACUGAACGUCCCCUGACGGUAUCUAACCAGAAAGCCACGGCUAACUACGUG